rnacentral:rRNA from 1 species
GGCUGCUGUAACAAAGCGCCAUAAACUAGGUGGCUUAAAACAAUAGAAAUGAAGCUAAGCAGAGUUGGGCCUGGUUAGUACUUGGAUGGGAGACCACCUAGGAAGACCAGGUGCUGUAGGUG